AGGGAAGCAUCUCUGCUUGUCUCUUUUGGAGUGUUCAGCGAGUUCUGAUCCUUAGGUAGGGGUGUCUGAUCUGGCCUUGAGAUACAGCAGGGUUCACAACACAGAAAUACCAACAAGCAGGUCCACGGAACCACCAGACAUCAUCCUGUGCUGCUAUUGUUAUUAUGAAUGAGCUAAAUAGAGCAUUUAUGACACAACUAGGAGACUCAAGAAGGAAACAGAUUGCAGAAGAGAUCUCCAAACUUCAGAAACUUAGAGGGGUGGAUAAAGUCAUGUUGAUGAAACAAAGGAGUACUAUUUGUGUAGGAAGCAGAAAAACAUGGUGAGCUCAGAAAGAACUAGGUUAUAUUCUGCUUUGCCAACAGUUGAAGAACACGUAUCAGUAAAACUGUAUAUGACACAGCAUUUUGUUUUUAUGUUGAGGGAUGUUUCAAGUGCGUACUUUCAAUGCAUACUUUUCUAGCUAAAGAUUCAAAUAACUGUGAACGUUUGUAUAAAUAUACUAAUUCUGUCUCUGCAGUAAAAUAUCACAAAAGAAAUAACUGUAAACUGCUAUUUUAAGCAGUAAGUAAGUAAGAAACUUCAGACCAAAUCUUAACCUCCAGCAUCUACAAGGACAGCAAGAAUGUAACUGGUUUAUCUGAGAAAAUGGGUGCAAUCAAGUAUAUAAGCAAACCUAACUAGGAAGGAGAAUGGAAAUCUACAGUGAUGUUGCAAAUGGCAGGCAUGUUGCUGUUCUCAGCGUUGAAUACUGAGAUUCAGCUGGUAAACCAGAAUUACUGUACACGGCACUAUUUAUGGUGCGAGUCCAAAGCCGGUUUAUUUCUUAGUGGGUCUUAAAUGGAAUGGAUGGAUUUUUCAAGUCAGUGUGGAAGAUGAUAAGUAAAAAUUUUAGAGGA